rnacentral:rRNA from 1 species
GGCGUGCCUAACACAUGCAAGUCGAGCGAGAAAGCUCCUUCGGGAGUGAGUAAAGCGGCGCACGGGUGAGUAACACGUAGGUAACCUACCCUCGAGCCCGGAAUAACCUACCGAAAGGUGGGCUAAUACCGGAUAUGACCACGGGAGUCACGGCUCCUGCGGUGAAAGAUGGCCUAAGCUUGCAAGCUAUCACUAGGGGAUGGGCCUGCGUACCAUUAGCUAGUUGGCGGGGUAAUGGCCCACCAAGGCUAUGAUGGUUAGCUGGUCUGAGAGGAUGGCCAGCCACACUGGAACUGAAACACGGACCAGACUCCUACGGGAGGCAGCAGUGGGGGAUAUUGCGCAAUGGGCGAAAGCCUGACGCAGCGACGCCGCGUGGGUGAUGAAGGCCUUCGGGUCGUAAAGCCCUGUCGAGGGGGACGAAACGGCUCCGACCUAAUACGUCGGGGUUCUGACGGUACCCCUAAAGGAAGCACCGGCUAACUCCGUGCCAGCAGCCGCGGUAAUACGGAGGGUGCGAGCGUUGUUCGGAAUCACUGGGCGUAAAGCGCGCGUAGGCGGUCUGCUAAGUCUGAUGUGAAAGCCCGGGGCUCACCCCCGGAAGUGCAUUGGAAACUGACAGACUGGAGUCCCGGAGAGGAAGGUGGAAUUCCUGGUGUAGCGGUGAAAUGCGUAGAUAUCAGGAGGAACACC